rnacentral:rRNA from 1 species
AAUAGAUACCCAGGUAGUCCACGCCGUAAACGAUGUCGACUUGGAGGUUGUUCCCUUGAGGAGUGGCUUCCGGAGCUAACGCGUUAAGUCGACCGCCUGGGGAGUACGGCCGCAAGGUUAAAACUCAAAUGAAUUGACGGGGGCCCGCACAAGCGGUGGAGCAUGUGGUUUAAUUCGAUGCAACGCGAAGAACCUUACCUACUCUUGACAUCCAGAGAACUUAGCAGAGAUGCUUUGGUGCCUUCGGGAACUCUGAGACAGGUGCUGCAUGGCUGUCGUCAGCUCGUGUUGUGAAAUGUUGGGUUAAGUCCCGCAACGAGCGCAACCCUUAUCCUUUGUUGCCAGCGGUUCGGCCGGGAACUCAAAGGAGACUGCCAGUGAUAAACUGGAGGAAGUGGGGAUGACGUCAAGUCAUCAUGGCCCUUACGAGUAGGGCUACACACGUGCUACAAUGGCGUAUACAAAGAGAAGCGACCUCGCGAGAGCAAGCGGACCUCAUAAAGCACGUCGUAGUCCGGAUUGGAGUCUGCUAAC